rfam:Burkholderia pseudomallei strain K96243, chromosome 1, complete sequence.
CCGACGAAACAGGGGUGCUUCGCGCGUCCCCGGCCUGCCGAGUCGGCACGGCCGGAUGCGCGACGAGGCUGAGAGAGACCCUUCGCACCCGAUCCGGGUAAUACCGGCGCGGGAAGUUUCCGAUCCCGCCGG